CCUACGGGAGGCUGCAGUGGGGAAUAUUGCACAAUGGGGGAAACCCUGAUGCAGCAACGCCGCGUGAGUGAAGAAGUAUUUCGGUAUGUAAAGCUCUAUCAGCAGGGAAGAAGAAAGACGGUACCUGACUAAGAAGCCCCGGCUAACUACGUGCCAGCAGCCGCGGUAAUACGUAGGGGGCAAGCGUUAUCCGGAUUUACUGGGUGUAAAGGGAGCGUAGACGGCGGUGCAAGUAUGAAGUGAAAGCCCGUGGCUCAACCGCGGAACUGCUUUGGAAACUGUCGAGCUGGAGUACUGGAGAGGCAGGCGGAAUUCCUGGUGGAGCGGUGAAAGGCGUAGAUAUUAGGAGGAACACCAGUGGCGAAGGCGGCCUGCUGGACAGAAACUGACGUUGAGGCUCGAAAGCGUGGGGAGCAAACAGGAUUAGAUACCCUUGUAGUC
rnacentral:rRNA from 1 species